AAUUUUGGACAAUGGGGGAAACCCUGAUCCAGCCAUCCCGCGUGUAUGAUGAAGGCCUUCGGGUUGUAAAGUACUUUUGGCAGAGAAGAAAAGGUAUCUCCUAAUACGAGAUACUGCUGACGGUAUCUGCAGAAUAAGCACCGGCUAACUACGUGCCAGCAGCCGCGGUAAUACGUAGGGUGCAAGCGUUAAUCGGAAUUACUGGGCGUAAAGGGGUCGCAGGCGGGUAGGAAAGAAAGAUGUGAAAUCCCAGGGCUCAACCUUGGAACUGCAUUUCUAACUGCCUAGCUAGAGUAUGGCAGGGGGGGGUAGAAUUCCACGUGUAGCAGUUAAAUGCGUAGAUAAGUGGGGGAAUACCGAUGGCGAAGGCAGCCCCCUGGGAUAAUACUGACGCUCAGGUACGAAAGCGUGGGGAACAAACC
rnacentral:rRNA from 1 species